UGGGGAAUUUUGGACAAUGGGCGAAAGCCUGAUCCAGCAAUGCCGCGUGUGUGGAGAAGGCCUUCGGGUUGUAAAGCACUUUUGUCCGGAAAGAAAUCCUUGGCUCUAAUACAGUCGGGGGAUGACGGUACCGGAAGAAUAAGCACCGGCUAACUACGUGCCAGCAGCCGCGGUAAUACGUAGGGUGCAAGCGUUAAUCGGAAUUACUGGGCGUAAAGCGUGCGCAGGCGGUUUGCUAAGACCGAUGUGAAAUCCCCGGGCUCAACCUGGGAACUGCAUUGGUGACUGGCAGGCUAGAGUAUGGCAGAGGGGGGUAGAAUUCCACGUGUAGCAGUGAAAUGCGUAGAGAUGUGGAGGAAUACCGAUGGCGAAGGCAGCCCCCUGGGCCAAUACUGACGCUCAUGCACGAAAGCGUGGGGAGCAAACAGGAUUAGAUACCCUGGUAGUCCACGCCCUAAACGAUGUCAACUAGUUGUUGGGGAUUCAUUUCCUUAGUAACGUAGCUAACGCGUGAAGUUGACCGCCUGGGGAGUACGGUCGCAAGAUUAAAACUCAAAGGAAUUGACGGGGUCAUAGCUG
rnacentral:rRNA from 1 species